rnacentral:rRNA from 1 species
AGUGAACGCUGGCGGUAGGCCUAACACAUGCAAGUCGAACGGCAGCACAGUAAGAGCUUGCUCUUACGGGUGGCGAGUGGCGGACGGGUGAGGAAUACAUCGGAAUCUACUUUUUCGUGGGGGAUAACGUAGGGAAACUUACGCUAAUACCGCAUACGACCUACGGGUGAAAGCAGGGGAUCUUCGGACCUUGCGCGAUUGAAUGAGCCGAUGUCGGAUUAGCUAGUUGGCGGGGUAAAGGCCCACCAAGGCGACGAUCCGUAGCUGGUCUGAGAGGAUGAUCAGCCACACUGGAACUGAGACACGGUCCAGACUCCUACGGGAGGCAGCAGUAGGGAAUAUUGGACAAUGGGCGCAAGCCUGAUCCAGCCAUACCGCGUGAGUGAAGAAGGCCUUCGGGUUGUAAAGCCCUUUUAUUAGGAAAGAAAAACAGCGGGUUAAUACCCCGCUGUUCUGACGGUACCCAAAGAGUAAGCACCGGCUAACUUCGUG